UGGGGUGUCGCCAAGCGGUAAGGCACGGGACUUUGACUCCCGCAUUCGUAAGUUCAAAUCUUGCCACCCCAACCA
rnacentral:tRNA from 1 species